rnacentral:lncRNA from 1 species
AUAUGCAUGCCGAGUUUGCACUCUGUGUGAGUGUUUCCAGGUUACACAUGUGGGAUGACAUCACAGAAACCACACAAGCAACAAAUUAAAUUCUACGGGAAGAAAUACUCCUGACUGGUCUCUGAGGAGACAUUUUUAUGCCUUCUUAACUUUAUUAGGAAUUCUCAGGCUGAAGCUAUGGGUCAUUGUUCUCCAACAAAUCAAUACAAGCCAUCAAUGCACUAAGAACUGCCAAACCCUGAUCUGUGUGAAUGUUCUUAGGAGCCUGUGAUCCCCAUGGUGCUACAAAGAGGCUGGAGCUGGGCCAAUGAGAAGGCCUAAGAAUCCUCCUGCCUUCAGCAGAUGUUUACUGAGCACUCUGAGCCAGCAACACCACACCAGUAACUGGGAGGACAGCAGCUGGGCAGUAGGGUGCCCAGCCACUUGAAUCUCUUUUCCUCUGAGGCAUGUUUUAAUCCUCUUAUAUCAGACCCCAGCCAGGGGACACUUUGUCUACAGAUCCUCCCCCACAGUUUUCAGAUGGCCUAAGCCAUACACAAAUGACUCAGACUAAGAAACAUCAAUACUCCCAGAAGCCCCAAGAGCUGAUUUUUGAGCAGUAUGACAAGUGGAAGAGGAUAUUACAGAGGCCAUUUUUUUCUCCUCCUCCCGCUCAUACUAGAAGCUAGCCCUCCACUCCUAGCUCCUCCACACAAGUUGGCAGUGGUUCCAUUACACCAAUGGCACAGGAAAACACAGGUACCGGUUUGCCUUCCUCCCUUGCCAAUCACAAGUGCCUUACUCUGACCAGACCCUAUGCCGAAACCUCUCUCGUCCAAGAGAACCAAAUCUCUACAUUUGUUACUACUUCAAGUCAAUGUGGUAACUGCUACUCUUCAAGAUUCACCUAAACAGUACAGUCCAACCUUCUCCAGGGCCACAGCACAGAGCAACCUCUAGCACACACCAGCCUUGAAUCUGUUCCACAGCAUAUCAACCACAGUAACCUCCCUCCCUCCCACUGCCUCGCUCUAAUUACAAGGUGAAGUUGGCCAUAAAAAAAAAUCAAGUUAGCACUGAUUACAAAAUGCUUUUGAUGCAACCUGAAUUCCCCAGUGCUUUUAAACUCUGACGAUGCUCUGGGAUCUGUGAGCCCCAUGCUCAGAGCCACUGGGCAGUUGGAGAACCCUUGCAGGAGACAUCUGCACACACAUGAAUGUACCGUUUCCAUGCCUUUUGUGGAGAACAUACACACAUACAUGCAUACUUUCAUUCACACACAUACACACAUAUACACACUUACAUUAGUAAUAGUUUAUUAUCAAACCACGGCAAGCUCUUCUCAUAUAAGACACACUGGGAUAAGAGAGUGUUGAGUGUGGAGUUGUUAGGACCCUCAGUAGUGGACAGAGAUUGCCAGGAGGCCUAACACUCAGGAGUCAUCUUCAACUGGGAAAUGACUUGCCCCCUGCAAGUUGAAAGCCCCACCACUUGCCUACCUUUCUACACCUUCAAAGAGCAUGUUCUGUGAUACCUGUAAUUCUCCAAGAAAGUAACAUUUUAGCCCUUAAUUUAGCACAUUUAAAUAAAGACAGAGUCGAUGUCAGGUAACUUCUUCACAAACAAAUCAGAUGCUGGUUUGCGUUCGCUGGCCUGUGUGUUGGUACUUCCUAAAGCAGUGAUCAGAAAGCACACAAAUCUCCUGAGAGACUAGAAACAGAAUGAGCAGCCCUCCCAUCAGGGCAACGUGGUAGUGGUUGGGAUAGCCAGUCAUCUGAAUGUUUGUGGUAACAAACAACACAACCUGAACUGGCCACAGGCUGCUUAGCUCCGUUCUCAUUAAUGUUAACAUCUCAGUUAACCGGCACAGCCAUUCUGCAGGGCUUUGUCCAUUGAUAGCGCUUUGGUUAGCUCAUGUUUUCACAUUUGUAUGUUACAUGCUGUUAUUUUUGUAUGCAUUUCUCAUAUGGAGGGAUCUACAGGUAAACACAGCCUCCUAGUUCAGUAGAAAAUGACAUUGUUAAGAGUAUUAUAUCCAAUAAAGAGUAAACAG